CCGAAACCCGGUGAUCUAGCCAUGGGCAGGUUGAAGGUUGGGUAACACUAACUGGAGGACCGAACCGACUAAUGUUGAAAAAUUAGCGGAUGACUUGUGGCUGGGGGUGAAAGGCCAAUCAAACCGGGAGAUAGCUGGUUCUCCCCGAAAGCUAUUUAGGUAGCGCCUCGUGAAUUCAUCUCCGGGGGUAGAGCACUGUUUCGGCAAGGGGGUCAUCCCGACUUACCAACCCGAUGCAAACUGCGAAUACCGGAGAAUGUUAUCACGGGAGACACACGGCGGGUGCUAACGUCCGUCGUGAAGAGGGAAACAACCCAGACCGCCAGCUAAGGUCCCAAAGUCAUGGUUAAGUGGGAAACGAUGUGGGAAGGCCCAGACAGCCAGGAUGUUGGCUUAGAAGCAGCCAUCAUUUAAAGAAAGCGUAAUAGCUCACUGGUCGAGUCGGCCUGCGCGGAAGAUGUAACGGGGCUAAACCAUGCACCGAAGCUGCGGCAGCGACGCUUAUGCGUUGUUGGGUAGGGGAGCGUUCUGUAAGCCUGCGAAGGUGUGCUGUGAGGCAUGCUGGAGGUAUCAGAAGUGCGAAUGCUGACAUAAGUAACGAUAAAGCGGGUGAAAAGCCCGCUCGCCGGAAGACCAAGGGUUCCUGUCCAACGUUAAUCGGGGCAGGGUGAGUCGACCCCUAAGGCGAGGCCGAAAGGCGUAGUCGAUGGGAAACAGGUUAAUAUUCCUGUACUUGGUGUUACUGCGAAGGGGGGACGGAGAAGGCUAUGUUGGCCGGGCGACGGUUGUCCCGGUUUAAGCGUGUAGGCUGGUUUUCCAGGCAAAUCCGGAAAAUCAAGGCUGAGGCGUGAUGACGAGGCACUACGGUGCUGAAGCAACAAAUGCCCUGCUUCCAGGAAAAGCCUCUAAGCAUCAGGUAACAUCAAAUCGUACCCCAAACCGACACAGGUGGUCAGGUAGAGAAUACCAAGGCGCUUGAGAGAACUCGGGUGAAGGAACUAGGCAAAAUGGUGCCGUAACUUCGGGAGAAGGCACGCUGAUAUGUAGGUGAAGUCCCUUGCGGAUGGAGCUGAAAUCAGUCGAAGAUACCAGCUGGCUGCAACUGUUUAUUAAAAACACAGCACUGUGCAAACACGAAAGUGGACGUAUACGGUGUGACGCCUGCCCGGUGCCGGAAGGUUAAUUGAUGGGGUCAGCGCAAGCGAAGCUCUUGAUCGAAGCCCCGGUAAACGGCGGCCGUAACUAUAACGGUCCUAAGGUAGCGAAAUUCCUUGUCGGGUAAGUUCCGACCUGCACGAAUGGCGUAAUGAUGGCCAGGCUGUCUCCACCCGAGACUCAGUGAAAUUGAACUCGCUGUGAAGAUGCAGUGUACCCGCGGCAAGACGGAAAGACCCCGUGAACCUUUACUAUAGCUUGACACUGAACAUUGAGCCUUGAUGUGUAGGAUAGGUGGGAGGCUUUGAAGUGUGGACGCCAGUCUGCAUGGAGCCGACCUUGAAAUACCACCCUUUAAUGUUUGAUGUUCUAACGUGGACCCGUAAUCCGGGUUGCGGACAGUGUCUGGUGGGUAGUUUGACUGGGGCGGUCUCCUCCUAAAGAGUAACGGAGGAGCACGAAGGUUGGCUAAUCCUGGUCGGACAUCAGGAGGUUAGUGCAAUGGCAUAAGCCAGCUUGACUGCGAGCGUGACGGCGCGAGCAGGUGCGAAAGCAGGUCAUAGUGAUCCGGUGGUUCUGAAUGGAAGGGCCAUCGCUCAACGGAUAAAAGGUACUCCGGGGAUAACAGGCUGAUACCGCCCAAGAGUUCAUAUCGACGGCGGUGUUUGGCACCUCGAUGUCGGCUCAUCACAUCCUGGGGCUGAAGUAGGUCCCAAGGGUAUGGCUGUUCGCCAUUUAAAGUGGUACGCGAGCUGGGUUUAGAACGUCGUGAGACAGUUCGGUCCCUA
rnacentral:rRNA from 1 species